GAUGAACGCUGGCGGCGUGCUUAACACAUGCAAGUCGAACGGAAAGGCCCAAGCUUGCUUGGGUACUCGAGUGGCGAACGGGUGAGUAACACGUGGGUGAUCUGCCCUGCACUUCGGGAUAAGCCUGGGAAACUGGGUCUAAUACCGGAUAGGACCACAUUUUGGAUGGUGUGGUGGAAAGUUUUUCGGUGUGGGAUGAGCUCGCGGCCUAUCAGCUUGUUGGUGGGGUAAUGGCCUACCAAGGCGUCGACGGGUAGCCGGCCUGAGAGGGUGUACGGCCACAUUGGGACUGAGAGACGGCCCAGACUCCGACGGGAGGCAGCAGGGGGGAAGAUUGCACAAUGGGCGCAAGCCUGAUGCAGCGACGCCGCGGGGGGGAUGACGGCCUUCGGGUUGUAAACUCCUUUCGCUAGGGACGAAGUGUUAUGUGACGGUACCUGGAGAAGAAGCACCGGCUAACUACGUG
rnacentral:rRNA from 1 species